rnacentral:rRNA from 1 species
AGCUCCCUGGUUGAUCCUGCCAGUAGUUAUAUGCUUGUCUCAAAGAUUAAGCCAUGCAUGUCUCAGUGCAAGCCGUAUUAAGGCGAUACCGCGAAUGGCUCAAUAUAUCAGUUUUGGUUCCUUAGAUCUUACUCAGUUACUUGGAUAACUGUGGUAAUUCUAGAGCUAAUACAUGCAAUCAGAACUCUGACCAGUGAUGGGAUGAGUGCUUUUAUUAGAUCAAAACCAAUCGACGGAAGGCCGUGCGUCGGAAGUCGUUAAUUUUGAUGAAUCUGGAUAACUUUUGCCGAUCGCAUGGUCCAGUACCGGCGACGCAUCUUUCAAAUGUCUGCCUUAUCAACUUUCGAUGGUAGUUUCUGCGACUACCAUGGUUGUCACGGGUAACGGGGAAUCAGGGUUCGAUUCCGGAGAGGGAGCCUGAGAAACGGCUACCACAUCCAAGGAAGGCAGCAGGCGCGCAAAUUACCCACUCCCGGCACGGGGAGGUAGUGACGAAAAAUAACGAUACGGGACUCUUACGAGGCCUCGUAAUCGGAAUGAGUACACUUUAAAUAUUUUAACGAGGAACAAUUGGAGGGCAAGUCUGGUGCCAGCAGCCGCGGUAAUUCCAGCUCCAAUAGCGUAUACUAAAAUUGUUGCGGUUAAAAAGCUCGUAGUUGCAUUUGUGCGCCGCGCUGUCGGUGCACCGCAUCCGCGGUGAUACUGACACGUCUGCGGAGCAUAUCGUCGGUGAGCCGUCGGUCAAACGUCGGUUCAAUAUCAAAAUCCUAUCGCGGUGCUCUUCAAUGAGUGUCGAGGUGGGCCGACAAUUUUACUUUGAACAAAUUAGAGUGCUCAAAGCGGGCUCAAAAUGCUGCUUGAAUAUUUCGUGCAUGGAAUAAUAGAAUAUGAUCUCGGUUCUAUUUUGUUGGUUUUCAGAACUCCGAGGUAAUGAUUAAUAGGGAUAACUGGGGGCAUUCGUAUUGCGACGUUAGAGGUGAAAUUCUUGGAUCGUCGCAAGACGAACAUCAGCGAAAGCAUUUGCCAAAGGUGUUUUCAUCAAUCAAGAACGAAAGUUAGAGGUUCGAAGGCGAUUAGAUACCGCCCUAGUUCUAACCGUAAAUAUGUCAUCUAGCGAUCCGCCGACGUUACUACAAUGGCUCGGCGGGCAGCUUCCGGGAAACCAAAGAUUUUGGACUCCGGGGGGAGUAUGGUUGCAAAGCUGAAACUUAAAGGAAUUGACGGAAGGGCACCACCAGGAGUGGAGCCUGCGGCUUAAUUUGACUCAACACGGGAAAUCUCACCAGGCCCGGACACCGGAAGGAUUGACAGAUUAACAGCUCUUUCUUGAUUCGGUGGGUGGUGGUGCAUGGCCGUUCUUAGUUGGUGGAGCGAUUUGUCUGGUUAAUUCCGGUAACGAACGAGACUCUAGCCUGCUAAAUAGGCGUCGUCAUUUAGGUGUGCGUGGCUCCGUCACGCAACUCACUGGCGACGUAUUAAAAUUCUUCUUAGAGGGACCGGCGGCUUCGAGCCGCACGAGAUUGAGCAAUAACAGGUCUGUGAUGCCCUUAGAUGUCCUGGGCCGCACGCGCGCUACACUGAAGGAAUCAGCAUGUUCUCCCUGGCCUAGAGGCCCGGGCAACCCGCUGAAACUCCUUCGUGCUGGGGAUUGGGGUUUGCAAUUAUCCCCCAUAAACGAGGAAUUCCUAGUAAGCGCGAGUCAUAAGCUCGCGUUGAUUACGUCCCUGCCCUUUGUACACACCGCCCGUCGCUACUACCGAUUGAAUGAUUUAGUGAGGUCUUCGGACCGACACGCGGUGGCUUCACGGCCGUCGGCGUUGCUGGGAAGUUGACCAAACUUGAUCAUUUAGAGGAAGUAAAAGUCGUAACAAGGUUUCCGUAGGGGAACCUGCGGAAGGAUCAUUA